rnacentral:lncRNA from 1 species
CCCUUUCUUUUUUGUUCUUCAGAGGCUACAUGCUCAGUUGAGGUGAAUCCAAUGUUCUUUCCAAUUUUCUGAAUCUUAUCCCAUUCAAUUCCUAGUUUCAUUUAGUCAUCAUUUUUUGUUAGGUGUGAUUCAGUCUAUAAGUUUUCCCUGUUGAAUAGCUAUGGAUUCAUUGAUUGGCUUUGAAAAUGUCAUGAUUCUCUCAUUUUCCU